rnacentral:rRNA from 1 species
GCUCGGUACCUCGCGAUGCUCUAGAUUAGAGUUUGUCCUGGCUCGGAUGACGCUGGCGCGUGCCUAUACUGCAGUCGAGCGAAUGGAUUAAGAGCUUGCUCUUAUGAAGUUAGCGGCGGACGGGUGAGUAACACGUGGGUAACCUGCCCAUAAGACUGGGAUAACUCCGGGAAACCGGGGCUAAUACCGGAUAACAUUUUGAACCGCAUGGUUCGAAAUUGAAAGGCGGCUUCGGCUGUCACUUAUGGAUGGACCCGCGUCGCAUUAGCUAGUUGGUGAGGUAACGGCUCACCAAGGCACGAUGCGUAGCCGACCUGAGAGGGUGAUCGGCCACACUGGGACUGAGACACGGCCCAGACUCCUACGGGAGGCAGCAGUAGGGAUCUUCCGCAUGGACGAAAGUCUGACGAGCACGCCGCGUGAGUGAUGAAGCUUUCGGGUCGUAAACUCUGUUGUAGGAGACAGUGCUAGUUGAUAGCUGGACUUGACGUACUACAGAAGCACGCUACUACGUGUGCCAGCAGCCGCGGUAAUACGUAGGUGGCAAG